rnacentral:rRNA from 1 species
CGUAAGAUGGCGACCGGCGCACGGGUGAGUAACACGUAUCCAACCUGCCGAUAACUCGGGGAUAGCCUUUCGAAAGAAAGAUUAAUACCCGAUGGUAUAAUCAGACCGCAUGGUCUUGUUAUUAAAGAAUUUCGGUUAUCGAUGGGGAUGCGUUCCAUUAGGCAGUUGGUGAGGUAACGGCUCACCAAACCUUCGAUGGAUAGGGGUUCUGAGAGGAAGGUCCCCCACAUUGGAACUGAGACACGGUCCAA